rnacentral:misc_RNA from 1 species
GAUGAGAACGUAGCAAAAUGCGAUAAGUAAUGUGAAUUGCAGAAUUCAGUGAAUCAUCGAAUCUUUGAACGCACAUUGCGCCCGCUGGUAUUCCGGCGGGCAUGCCUGUUCGAGCGUCAUUUCAACCCUCAAGCCCCCGGGUUUGGUGUUGGGGAUCGGCUCUGCCCUUCUGGGCGGUGCCGCCCCCGAAAUACAUUGGCGGUCUCGCUGCAGCCUCCAUUGCGUAGUAGCUAACACCUCGCAACUGGAACGCGGCGCGGCCAUGCCGUAAAACCCCAACUUCUGAAUGUUGACCUCGGAUCAGGUAGGAAUACCCGCUGAACUUAAGCAUAUCAAUAAGCGGAGGA